UGACGGAGCAACGCCGCGUGAGUSAUGAAGGUUUUCGGAUCGUAAAGCUCUGUUGUUAGGGAAGAACAAGUACCGUUCGAAUAGGGCGGUACCUUGACGGUACCUAACCAGAAAGCCACGGCUAACUACGUGCCAGCAGCCGCGGUAAUACGUAGGUGGCAAGCGUUGUCCGGAAUUAUUGGGCGUAAAGCGCGCGCAGGUGGUUUCUUAAGUCUGAUGUGAAAGCCCCCGGCUCAACCGGGGAGGGUCAUUGGAAACUGGGAGACUUGAGUGCAGAAGAGGAAAGUGGAAUUCCAAGUGUAGCGGUGAAAUGCGUAGAGAUUUGGAGGAACACCAGUGGCGAAGGCGACUUUCUGGUCUGUAACUGACACUGAGGCGCGAAAGCGUGGGGAGCAAACAGGAUUAGAUACCCUGGUAGUCCACGCCGUAAACGAUGAGUGCUAAGUGUUAGGGGGUUUCCGCCCCUUAGUGCUGCAGCUAACGCAUUAAGCACUCCGCCUGGGGAGUACGGCCGCAAGGCUGAAACUCAAAUGAAUUGA
rnacentral:rRNA from 1 species